AUUUAAGUAGUUUAUUUAAAAUAUUGAUUUGUGGUGUCAAUGAAAUAAUUAGUUAUCUUAAAUA
rnacentral:tRNA from 1 species